UACGUAGGGUGCGAGCGUUGUCCGGAAUUAUUGGGCGUAAAGAGCUUGUAGGCGGUUUGUCGCGUCUGCCGUGAAAGCCCAGGGCUUAACCCUGGGUCUGCGGUGGGUACGGGCAGACUAGGGUGUGGUAGGGGAGACUGGAAUUCCUGGUGUAGCGGUGAAAUGCGCAGAUAUCAGGAGGAACACCGAUGGCGAAGGCAGGUCUCUGGGCCACUACUGACGCUGAGAAGCGAAAGCAUGGGGAGCAAAUAGG
rnacentral:rRNA from 1 species